GACGAACGCUGGCGGCGUGCUUAACACAUGCAAGUCGAACGGAAAGGCCCUGCUUUUGUGGGGUGCUCGAGUGGCGAACGGGUGAGUAACACGUGAGUAACCUGCCCUUGACUUUGGGAUAACUUCAGGAAACUGGGGCUAAUACCGGAUAGGUGCUCCUGCGGCAUGGUGGGGGUUGGAAAGCUUCGGCGGUUGGGGAUGGACUCGCGGCUUAUCAGCUUGUUGGUGGGGUAGUGGCUUACCAAGGCCUUGACGGGUAGCCGGCCUGAGAGGGUGACCGGCCACAUUGGGACUGAGAUACGGCCCAGACUCCUACGGGAGGCAGCAGUGGGGAAUAUUGCACAAUGGGCGGAAGCCUGAUGCAGCAACGCCGCGUGCGGGAUGAAGGCCUUCGGGUUGUAAACCGCUUUCGCCUGUGACGAAGCGUGAGUGACGGUAAUGGGUAAAGAAGCACCGGCUAACUACGUG
rnacentral:rRNA from 1 species